GACGAACGCUGGCGGCGUGCCUAAUACAUGCAAGUCGAACGCAGUGGGGACAGGUGAGUAACAAGUGGGUAACCUCCCGUCAGAGGGGAGAACAAUUGGAAACAGGUGCUAAACCGAUACUGAUGAAUGAACCCGGGGUGCAUUAGCUAGUUGGUGAGGUAACGGCUCACCCAGUCCACGAUCCAUAGCCGGUCUGAGAGUGUGACCGGCAACACUGGGACUGAGACACGGCCCAGACUCCUACGGGAGGCAGCAGUGGGGAAUAUUGGGCAAUGGACGAAAGUCUGAUCGAGCAAUGCCGCGUGUGUGAAGAAGGCUUUCGGAUCGUAAACCUCUGUCGGUGGAGAGGCGGUACUUAACGAGAAAGCCACGGCUAACUCCGUGCCAGCAGCCGCGGUAAUUC
rnacentral:rRNA from 1 species